CAAAGGUAUUAUUAAAAGGGUUUUUAAAAACUGCAAAUGAAAUAUUAUCAACAUAAUUAGAUUAUUUAUUUAUUUCCGUGGGUACGUGUUUCUUUAUCAACGUCUUAAUAGAUAAAGCAAAAAACGGUUUCGCAAGUGAAUAAAUUACAUGAGGAAUUUUAAGCUAAUUCGAGAAAAAUGCACAUUAAUUCAAAUAUUGAAGUUUUAAUAUAAAAAAGCAUAAAAAAUCAUAAAAAAGCAAUUCGUAAAUUUUAUAAUCAAAAUUGUCAGUUAUUACCCUUUAAAACAUAAAUUAUAUAAAUAUAAAUUAUCAAGUCUUGUUUUGGUAUAUAUACGGAAACGUUUUGAGUCAGUUUAAUUCGAAGAAUACCUGCAGUUAACAACCAACGAUUCAUAAUGAAGUGGUGCUUUGUUUUUGCCGUCUUUGCCAUCGCUGUGUUUUCCUUUGACUUUGGAAGUGCUAGAGACCCAACUCCAACACUAACAGUCAUUCCUAAAGACUCAUCAAGAUGCACUGGAGUUCAGAAAUGUGACGAGGAAUGUAAGGCAGCAGGUUUCUGGAAGGGUGAAUGCAAUUUAUGCAAAUCCAACUACUGCUCAUGUUUUUAUAAUUAAAAUGUAAACAGUAACAGAAACAAAUACAUUUUGUUCCCCGAUUAAAAA